UACGUAGGGGGCAAGCGUUGUUCGGAAUUACUGGGCGUAAAGGGCGCGUAGGCGGCACAGCAAGUCGGGAGUGAAAGCCCGGGGCUCAACCCCGGAACUGCUUUCGAAACUGCUGAGCUAGAGUACAGAAGGGGCAACCGGAAUUCCCAGUGUAGCGGUGAAAUGCGUAGAUAUUGGGAAGAACACCUGAGGCGAAGGCGGGUUGCUGGGCUGAUACUGACGCUGAGGCGCGAAAGCUAGGGGAGCAAACGGG
rnacentral:rRNA from 1 species